rnacentral:piRNA from 1 species
UGAAAUGGAGAAGCCUAGAGG